AAUCCAUAGGUUAAUGAGGCGAACCGGGGGAACUGAAACAUCUAAGUACCCCGAGGAAAAGAAAUCAACCGAGAUUCCCCCAGUAGCGGCGAGCGAACGGGGAGGAGCCCAGAGCCUGAAUCAGCAUGUGUGUUAGUGGAAGCGUCUGGAAAGGCGCGCGAUACAGGGUGACAGCCCCGUACACAAAAGCGCAUGUGCUGUGAGCUCGAUGAGUAGGGCGGGACACGUGGUAUCCUGUCUGAAUAUGGGGGGACCAUCCUCCAAGGCUAAAUACUCCUGACUGACCGAUAGUGAACCAGUACCGUGAGGGAAAGGCGAAAAGAACCCCGGCGAGGGGAGUGAAAAAGAACCUGAAACCGUGUACGUACAAGCAGUGGGAGCACCCUUUGGGGUGUGACUGCGUACCUUUUGUAUAAUGGGUCAGCGACUUAUAUUCUGUAGCAAGGUUAACCGUAUAGGGGAGCCGCAGGGAAACCGAGUCUUAAUUGGGCGUUAAGUUGCAGGGUAUAGACCCGAAACCCGGUGAUCUAGCCAUGGGCAGGUUGAAGGUUGGGUAACACUAACUGGAGGACCGAACCGACUAAUGUUGAAAAAUUAGCGGAUGACCUGUGGCUGGGGGUGAAAGGCCAAUCAAACCGGGAGAUAGCUGGUUCUCCCCGAAAGCUAUUUAGGUAGCGCCUCGUGAAUUCAUCUCCGGGGGUAGAGCACUGUUUCGGCUAGGGGGCCAUCCCGGCUUACCAACCCGAUGCAAACUGCGAAUACCGGAGAAUGUUAUCACGGGAGACACACGGCGGGUGCUAACGUCCGUCGUGAAGAGGGAAACAACCCAGACCGCCAGCUAAGGUCCCAAAGUCAUGGUUAAGUGGGAAACGAUGUGGGAAGGCCCAGACAGCCAGGAUGUUGGCUUAGAAGCAGCCAUCAUUUAAAGAAAGCGUAAUAGCUCACUGGUCGAGUCGGCCUGCGCGGAAGAUGUAACGGGGCUAAACCAUGCACCGAAGCUGCGGCAGCGACGCUGAUGCGUUGUUGGGUAGGGGAGCGUUCUGUAAGCCUGUGAAGGUGGCCUGUGAGGGUUGCUGGAGGUAUCAGAAGUGCGAAUGCUGACAUAAGUAACGAUAAAGCGGGUGAAAAGCCCGCUCGCCGGAAGACCAAGGGUUCCUGUCCAACGUUAAUCGGGGCAGGGUGAGUCGACCCCUAAGGCGAGGCCGAAAGGCGUAGUCGAUGGGAAACGGGUUAAUAUUCCCGUACUUGGUGUUACUGCGAAGGGGGGACGGAGAAGGCUAUGUUGGCCGGGCGACGGUUGUCCCGGUUUAAGCGUGUAGGUGUGUGUUCCAGGUAAAUCCGGUUCACUUUAACACUGAGGCGUGAUGACGAGGCACUACGGUGCUGAAGCAACAAAUGCCCUGCUUCCAGGAAAAGCCUCUAAGCAUCAGGUAACAUCAAAUCGUACCCCAAACCGACACAGGUGGUCAGGUAGAGAAUACCAAGGCGCUUGAGAGAACUCGGGUGAAGGAACUAGGCAAAAUGGUGCCGUAACUUCGGGAGAAGGCACGCUGACACGUAGGUGAAGUGAUUUACUCACGGAGCUGAAGUCAGUCGAAGAUACCAGCUGGCUGCAACUGUUUAUUAAAAACACAGCACUGUGCAAACACGAAAGUGGACGUAUACGGUGUGACGCCUGCCCGGUGCCGGAAGGUUAAUUGAUGGGGUCAGCGCAAGCGAAGCUCCUGAUCGAAGCCCCGGUAAACGGCGGCCGUAACUAUAACGGUCCUAAGGUAGCGAAAUUCCUUGUCGGGUAAGUUCCGACCUGCACGAAUGGCGUAAUGAUGGCCAGGCUGUCUCCACCCGAGACUCAGUGAAAUUGAACUCGCUGUGAAGAUGCAGUGUACCCGCGGCAAGACGGAAAGACCCCGUGAACCUUUACUAUAGCUUGACACUGAACAUUGAGCCUUGAUGUGUAGGAUAGGUGGGAGGCUUUGAAGUGUGGACGCCAGUCUGCAUGGAGCCGACCUUGAAAUACCACCCUUUAAUGUUUGAUGUUCUAACGUGGACCCGUGAUCCGGGUUGCGGACAGUGUCUGGUGGGUAGUUUGACUGGGGCGGUCUCCUCCUAAAGAGUAACGGAGGAGCACGAAGGUUGGCUAAUCCUGGUCGGACAUCAGGAGGUUAGUGCAAUGGCAUAAGCCAGCUUGACUGCGAGCGUGACGGCGCGAGCAGGUGCGAAAGCAGGUCAUAGUGAUCCGGUGGUUCUGAAUGGAAGGGCCAUCGCUCAACGGAUAAAAGGUACUCCGGGGAUAACAGGCUGAUACCGCCCAAGAGUUCAUAUCGACGGCGGUGUUUGGCACCUCGAUGUCGGCUCAUCACAUCCUGGGGCUGAAGUAGGUCCCAAGGGUAUGGCUGUUCGCCAUUUAAAGUGGUACGCGAGCUGGGUUUAGAACGUCGUGAGACAGUUCGGUCCCUAUCUGCCGUGGGCGCUGGAGAACUGAGGGGGGCUGCUCCUAGUACGAGAGGACCGGAGUGGACGCAUCACUGGUGUUCGGGUUGUCAUGCCAAUGGCACUGCCCGGUAGCUAAAUGCGGAAGAGAUAAGUGCUGAAAGCAUCUAAGCACGAAACUUGCCCCGA
rnacentral:rRNA from 1 species